rnacentral:rRNA from 1 species
GACGAACGCUGGCGGUGCGCCUUAUGCAUGCAAGUUGAGCGAAGCUUUUUGGUAGUUUAGUACUAGAAAUGACUGAGCGGCGAACGGGUGAGUAACGCGUGAGCAAUCUACCUUAGUUACUGGGAUAGCCCGAGGAAACUCGGAUUAAUACCAGAUAUUCUUAUUUUUUCACAUGAAGUUUUAAGGAAAGGUCAGCCGAACUAAGAUGAGCUCGCGUUCUAUCAGCUAGUUGGUGGGGUAAAAGCCUACCAAGGCUACGACGGAUAGCUGGUCUGAGAGGACGAUCAGCCACACUGGGACUGAGACACGGCCCAGACUCCUACGGGAGGCUGCAGCAGGGAAUAUUGCGCAAUGAGCGAAAGCUUGACACAGCGACACCGCGUGUGGGAUGACGGUUCUAGGAUUGUAAACCACUUUCAGGAGGGAAGAAAAUGACGGUACCUCCACAAGAAGACCCGGCCAACUAUGUGCC